GUGGACAUCAAGUAUUUGAGAAUAACCUUUAGGCAGACCUCAAAUUAAGGCAGACAAAAACGGGUCUGCCUGAUUUCAAAAGCAAUAAUUAACGUUGCUUUUAUUAUUAAUUAACUUUGUUUACCAUUUUUAUGCAAAAACUAUACACAAUUAAUUCAUGGAAAUACUUUUUGUGUAAAUUGUUUAUUAUUGGUCAGAAUGAAACAUCAUUUAAAAUGUUGAAUGUAUGUUUUUACAAAUACGCAGCAUACCCUUUUGGUGGACAAUGUUUAACUGGAUAAAAAACAUACUUUUUAAGAGUAUGUUUCAUGUUUUUAAACCUUUUUUGUCAAUUAAGAUCAUGUUUUAUCGAGUCCCAUGGUUUUUUCCGAAAAAAAAGUUAUGAUAAAAAAGUCGAUAUAUUUGCCACCGUGCCAAGUCUUCAUUUGAGAUAUAUUUUUUGUCCGAAAAUGCACUUCGGUUUUUUACGAUGGGUUGCGAGGGCUUCCGAACAAACAUGGCUGUUUUGAGUUACGAGAGAUGCGUAAGUAGGAUCAAGCUUAUUUAGACUAGCUUACUAAGUUUUUAUCUUGUUUUCUUGAUAUUUAUACUUUUAAACAGUAAAUUUUAUUUGUUGUCACACUCUAUUCAUGAAAUAUGACGACAAAAAACAUGUUGAAUUGAGGAAAACAUUUCAAGGACUUAACAAAGUUAAACAAUAAUACAUCAAAACUGAUUAAUAAAUAAUUAAAUUAAAACAAAAUAUUUGCAGUUUUAAGUCAAGAGAAAACUCAUUCUAUGAGAUGCAUGCAUUUCAAAACAGUAGGUUUUACAUGUUAGAUAAUAUGACGUCAUGGUUGAUUUUGGCGUCACCACAAAAAGAUGUAGGGCCUAUUGUAAAUAUUAGCUAAUCUAGUGUAACGUUAAAGAGUUAAAUAACCUCGUGUUCGUAAUAAUUUUAUGCAUAAUAUGUAUACGUUUUCAGCUGAAAGCAGUCCUAGAAAACGAUAAAGAAAAAGCAUUGAUGCAGAGGGUGUUACUAACAGCAUUAGUCAUUUCACCAAUGAUACAGACAAAGAUGCUAAUUUGGUCAUGAAGCUGAAUGUCUUUAAUGACAAAGAGGACCUCUGUCUGUAUGCUGUGAAGAAUAUACAGCCAAGGGAAUAGAUUCAAUACAAUUAUGGAGAUAAAGAGAACCUUUGGUGGAGGAGCAAGUAAUUUCUAAGAUGGCACAACGAGAAGAGAAUGCUGCAGAGGUGUUAGAUUGAGAUGUUGAGCAAAUGGAUUUAGAGCAAUGUUAAGAGAAUGCUGGAGAGGAGUUAGAUGGAGAUGUUGAGCAAGUGGAUCUGGAACAAGAAGCAGAGAAAGCUGGAGAGUAUGUUUUAGAUGGAGACGUUAAUCAAGUGGAUUUGAAGCAACGUUAAGAGAAUGCUGGAGAGGUGUUAGAUGGAGAUGUUGAGGUAAGUUAAGAAUGAAUGUCCCUCUGGUUUGUAUCAAAAUAUUUGAAUAUUAAUUUCAUAUGUUCUUAUACAGUAUUUGGUGGACACAAGUUAAGGUGUCUGCUAAAGAGGGGUAAUAGAAUUUAAUUAUCUUAUUCCUAUGAUAAUGAUAUAUAAUUAAUUCUGUAUUUCAUAUGUAGUCAGAACAUGUAGGAAAGGCCUAUAGAUCUGUGAUGAAAUGACUGUUAGAUUCAUGUUUGGUAUAAAUUCUAGGAGUUCUAUAUUUAAAAAAACCGCAUGCCAACGUGUCUGCCAAAGAUGGAUAAUUCAUAUAAAUAUAUGCUCAUAUAUAUAUAUAUAUUUAAAUACACAUGUUUGGCUUUUAUUUUGUUGACUUUUUAUCUUUAAAGCUGGACACCGCUCAUAAAUAGGCACCAUCACACAGAUACCUGGUUUAUAAAUCCUUCGAUUUCGUUACACCAGAUUGCACACCUGAAACUUCUUUUCAUGGUCUUAUGAUUUUAUGCAUUUAAUUCUUAUUUUAUGUGCAAAUUCUGUUUGUUAAUUAUAUUUUGACCAGUUUAUUUGAUGUUAGUAUUCUCCUGACUUGAAAAAAGUGCAUAAAACUUAAUAAUUUCAUUGCGACCGAGUAACACUGUGAGGCAAGUUGUAUGUCAGCACAGGUGAGACCUCUACAUCGAAAUACUUUAAACUGCUAAGAGUUCCGCAGCUUUUAUAGGGGUUGUAGGGAUAACUGUGGUGAGAGAGAAAUAUGGCAGACAUUGCCUAUUUACAAGCGACGUUCAGCUUUAAUUGCACUCUCUUAAUCAUCAACCGUCAUCCGCGAUUUCAUCGAUGUUUUAUC